rnacentral:rRNA from 1 species
CAAUAGCGUAUAUUAAAGUUGUUGCAGUUAAAAAGCUCGUAGUUGAAUUUUUGCUUGCCGCCGAUGUCGGAACUUCCGUACGUUCGGCGGCGUGCAUCCUUGGGUGGAACCUGUGUGGCAUUAGGUUGUCGUGCAGGGGAUGCUCAUCGUUUACUGUGAAAAAAUUAGAGUGUUCAAAGCAGGCUUACGCCGUUGAAUGUAUUAGCAUGGAAUAAUAAGAUAGGACCUUGGUACUAUUUUGUUGGUUUGCGCACCGAGGUAAUGAUUAACAGGGACAGUUGGGGGUAUUCGUAUUCCAUUGUCAGAGGUGAAAUUCUUGGAUUUCUGGAAGACGAACUACUGCGAAAGCAUUUACCAAGGAUGUUUUCAUUAA